GUGAAUCAUCGAAUUUUUGAACGCAAAUUGCACUCUCUUCGAAGAGGAUGCCUGUUUGAGGGUCAGUAUUAAUAAAAAUCGGUGUGUUGCUUCUUUGUGACUCUCCGGGGUUUGGGUCAUCUUAAUAUCCUAUCGGUUUUAGGAGGCUUAAAAUUGACUUUUUUUUCGCAUUUUAGUUUU
rnacentral:misc_RNA from 1 species